rnacentral:lncRNA from 1 species
GAAAGUCAAGAGUUUAGUUCAUAAAAUGUUGACCACUUUUUUUCUCGGUUGGAGUUAUCAAUCAAAACUAAAAAUAUUGCAAUGGAAUAUAAAAGUUUUAUUGAAGCCAUUCAAGAUAUUUGGACUUUUUGGGGUGUUGAUUGCGGUCCCAUGCUGGGUAUUUACAGUGCCAAUAAUAAGUUUAAUUUCCGCAUACUAUUUUUUUCCGACGGUAUACAUCGCAGUAAAUUUUUUAUGCUUAUUUUUCAACAUUUUUCGUACGUGCAAAUGUAAAUCCGAAUAUUUCUGGGAUGGAAUAUGGUGUAUAAACCGCACAUUUAAUUGUUGUUUGAACGAUAUCUGGAACGAACAAAAUGACCAAUUGCAUCCCGAUGAGCAACAACAGACGGAACAAAAACGCGUUGACCAACCACAGACGGAACAAAAUGAGCCAUUGCAACACGAUGACCAACCACAAUCGGAAGAAAAUGAACUGUUGCCAUACGAUGAUCGAGCAC